CCCUUAGAUGUUCUGGGCUGCACGCGUGCUACAAUGGCGUUUCCAGCAAGUCUGCGAACCCGAGAGGGCCAGCGGAUCUUCGAAUUGGCGUCGUGAUCGGGACAGUCGAUUGCAAUUAUUUGACUCAAACGAGGAAUUCCUUUUAAUCGCGAUUCAUCAUAUCGCGCUGAAUACGUCCCUGCCCUUUGUACACACCGCCCGUCGCUCCUACCGAUUGAGCGAUCCGGUAAAUGUUUUGGAUUGGUGCCGGGGCGGCUAGCUGCCGGUCGCUACGAAAUUUUGUGAACCUUAUCGCUUAGAGGAAGGAAAAGUCGUAACA
rnacentral:rRNA from 1 species